UGGACCAAUGAUGAUGGCUGGUGGCGUAUGACUCGUGGUUGAUGAUUACGUGUCUGGAACUCUGAGGUCCAA
ensembl:snoRNA